GCGAGAAAGUACCCUUCGGGGUGCGAGUAGAGCGGCAAACGGGUGAGUAACACGUAAGUAACCUACCUCUAAAUCUGGAAUAACUCUGCCAACGCGGAGCUAAUACCGGGUGUGGUCACGAUGCUGCAUGGUAUUGUGACUAAAGGUGACCUCUCCUUGGAAGUUACCGUUUAGAGAUGGGCUUGCGGACCAUUAGCUAGUUGGUGAGGUAACGGCUCACCAAGGCCACGAUGGAUAGCCGGCCUAAGAGGGUGAUCGGCCACAUUGGGACUGAGAUACGGCCCAGACUCCUACGGGAGGCAGCAGUAGGGAAUUUUGCGCAAUGGACGAAAGUCUGACGCAGCAACGCCGCGUGAGGGAUGACGGCCUUCGGGUUGUAAACCUCUGUUGAGUGGGAAGAAAAGCUUUGUGGUUAAUAUCCACAGAGUCUGACGGUACCACUCGAGGAAGCUCCGGCUAACUACGUGCCAGCAGCCGCGGUAAUACGUAGGGGGCUAGCGUUGUUCGGAAUCACUGGGCGUAAAGGGAGUGUAGGCGGACCGGUAAGUUAGGAGUUAAAUGUACGGGCUCAACCCGUGAUCUGCUUUAAAUACUGUCGGUCUUGAGUAUGGGAGAGGGAGAUGGAAUUCCAGGUGUAGCGGUGGAAUGCGUAGAUAUCUGGAAGAGCACCAGUUGCGAAGGCGGUCUCCUGGACCAGUAGUGACGCUGAUGCUCGAAAGCCUGGGGGACCGAACAGGAUCAGAUACCCUGGUA
rnacentral:rRNA from 1 species